UCUUGCCACAACUCGUUUUAGGACAAGAAUGUAUACUGUUUUUUACAGAUAUACGUUUUAAACACAAAGGCAGAUGAGGUCAAAUAAUGAGAUUCUUUGGUUUAAAUGCACUCCAUGUGUACUGCACUGAACUGAAGCAUGCAACUUACUGAACACGUAUAUACACCUUUAAGGUUACAUUAUAUGAUGAAAACACUGAUUUCAUCAUUUUUUACAUUUUUAUUUUUAUUUUUUACAUUUUUAUCCCUUGUGUCUUCGUGGAGCACGACAGAUCUUCUACUACAUUUUCGUUUGGCCGAUUUAGAUCGGUCUGUAUAGCUAUCCCCUUUUGACAUUUGCAUUUCCCCGACAUAUUAGCAAGUUUUUUCGUGUGGUUUCUCGCAUGUACGGUUUGUGAUAAACUGACAAUGAGUGAAUGACACCUAAAACCCUUGCGAAAACACACUUUACUAAUUUUAAUCCGAUUACAGUUCGAGGUGAUAACAGAGAGCCGAAAAACCCCGCCAAAUCUAAUAUCGUCUUUUACGGAGAUUGAAAUAUUCUCAGAUUGUCCCCACAAAAAUAGUUUAGAAACGCGCACGUUUUAUCCGAUUCCCUCUAAACGUGGCCACAAUGUUGAACAAUAGUUCAGGAGCAAAACCG